UACGUAGGUGGCGAGCGUUAUCCGGAUUUACUGGGUGUAAAGGGCGUGUAGGCGGGUUUGCAAGUCGGGUGUGAAAGACCCAGGCUUAACUUGGAGAGGUCAUCCGAAACUGCAGAUCUUGAGUGCUGGAGAGGAUAGUGGAAUUCCUGGUGUAGCGGUAAAAUGCGUAGAUAUCAGGAGGAACACCAGUGGCGAAGGCGGCUAUCUGGACAGUAACUGACGCUGAGGCGCGAAAGCGUGGGGAGCAAACAGGAUUAGAUACCCG
rnacentral:rRNA from 1 species